rnacentral:rRNA from 1 species
UACGUAGGGGGCUAGCGUUAUCCGGAAUUAUUGGGCGUAAAGGGUGCGUAGGUGGUUUCUUAAGUCAGAGGUGAAAGGCUACGGCUCAACCGUAGUAAGCCUUUGAAACUGGGAAACUUGAGUGCAGGAGAGGAGAGUGGAAUUCCUAGUGUAGCGGUGAAAUGCGUAGAUAUUAGGAGGAACACCAGUUGCGAAGGCGGCUCUCUGGACUGUAACUGACACUGAGGCACGAAAGCGUGGGGAGCAAACAGGAUUAGAUACCCUGGUAGUCCCUGAGCGGG